UACGUAGGGUGCUAGCGUUGUCCGGAAUUAUUGGGCGUAAAGGGCUCGUAGGCGGUCUGUCACGUCGAAUGUGAAAACUCAGGGCUUAACCCUGAGCCUGCUUCCGAUACGGGCAGACUAGAGGUAUGCAGGGGAGAAUGGAAUUCCUGGUGUAGCGGUGAAAUGCGCAGAUAUCAGGAGGAACACCAGUGGCGAAGGCGGUUCUCUGGGCAUUACCUGACGCUGAGGAGCGAAAGUGUGGGGAGCGAACAGG
rnacentral:rRNA from 1 species